rnacentral:rRNA from 1 species
AGAGUUUGAUCCUGGCUCAGGAUGAACGCUAGCUACAGGCUUAACACAUGCAAGUCGAGGGGCAGCAUGGUCUUAGCUUGCUAAGGCCGAUGGCGACCGGCGCACGGGUGAGUAACACGUAUCCAACCUGCCGUCUACUCUUGGACAGCCUUCUGAAAGGAAGAUUAAUACAAGAUGGCAUCAUGAGUCCGCAUGUUCACAUGAUUAAAGGUAUUCCGGUAGACGAUGGGGAUGCGUUCCAUUAGAUAGUAGGCGGGGUAACGGCCCACCUAGUCUUCGAUGGAUAGGGGUUCUGAGAGGAAGGUCCCCCACAUUGGAACUGAGACACGGUCCAAACUCCUACGGGAGGCAGCAGUGAGGAAUAUUGGUCAAUGGGCGAGAGCCUGAACCAGCCAAGUAGCGUGAAGGAUGACUGCCCUAUGGGUUGUAAACUUCUUUUAUAAAGGAAUAAAGUCGGGUAUGCAUACCCGUUUGCAUGUACUUUAUGAAUAAGGAUCGGCUAACUCCGUGCCAGCAGCCGCGGUAAUACGGAGGAUCCGAGCGUUAUCCGGAUUUAUUGGGUUUAAAGGGAGCGUAGAUGGAUGUUUAAGUCAGUUGUGAAAGUUUGCGGCUCAACCGUAAAAUUGCAGUUGAUACUGGAUAUCUUGAGUGCAGUUGAGGCAGGCGGAAUUCGUGGUGUAGCGGUGAAAUGCUUAGAUAUCACGAAGAACUCCGAUUGCGAAGGCAGCUCACUGGACUGCAACUGACGCUGAUGCUCGAAAGUGUGGGUAUCAAACAGGAUUAGAUACCCUGGUAGUCCACACAGUAAACGAUGAAUACUCGCUGUUGGCGAUAUACAGUCAGCGGCCAAGCGAAAGCAUUAAGUAUUCCACCUGGGGAGUACGCCGGCAACGGUGAAACUCAAAGGAAUUGAC